ACAGGUUAAACAUUGAGGAGACAGAGAGGAGUCACAGUCCAGACGACCAACAGGUUAAACAUUGAAGAGACAGAGAGGAGUCACAGACCAGGCGACCAACAGGUUAAACAUUGAAGCGACAGAGAGGAGUCACAGUCCAGACGACCAACAGGUUAAACAUUGAGGAGACAGAGAGGAGUCACAGUCCAGACGACCAACAGGUUAAAACAUUGAGGAGACAGAGAGGAGUCACAGACCAGACGACCAACAGGUUAAACAUUGAGGAGACAGAGAGGAGUCACAGUCCAGACGACCAACAGGUUAAACAUUGAGGAGACAGAGAGGAGUCACAGACCAG
rnacentral:lncRNA from 1 species